rnacentral:rRNA from 1 species
CAACCAACAAUGUUGUGCAUUUGCAGGUCGAGUGCGCCGAGACUUUCGAGAAGGCGAUAUGAGCUCAAUUUUGAGGCCAGCUUGCUGGUACCCGGAUUGGAGGAAUGUUGUUCGUUUUGGAUGUGAAUGGGGGAAAGGUUUUCGGGCUCGUAUGGGUUCGAAUUGGUGUGGGGUGGCAGUUGCAUGCAACAUGUGCCUUCUGCCAAUUCGGUCCUGUGCGAGCUCACAAUCCCACUCUCGGCGUAAAAGUUGGUCAUCUAUCCGACCCGUCUUGAAACACGGACCAAGGAGUUUAUCGUGUGCGCAAGUCAUUGGGUGUUGAAAACUCAAAGGCGCAAUGAAAGUAAAGAAUCCGCAAGGAUACGACGUGUGAUCUGAGCAAUCACGAUUGCCUGGAGCAACAUGGCCCCAUUCUGGUCGCUUGCGACGGGGUGGAGGAAGAGCGAAAGUUGGUGAACUAUUCCUGAGCAGGAUGAAGCCAGAGGAAACUCUGGUGGAAGU